AUCUGGACUCUUAACCCCUUGACCCGUUUGAUCCUGGCAAGAGAUGUGCUGUGCGUGCUGUAGGCUUGUAGCAGUGUAGAUCUGCCGGAUUUCUUCGCGCUCAUGGAGUGGUCUGUGUGUAGUUCAAAGUUCAAUAGUCAGUACCCUCCGUUUCUUGUUUGGACCCAUGGCUUGGGGUUGACUUGCCAGGUUAUGGUUGCUAUCCAUCAGGUGAAUAUUUGUGGCCAUAGUUUUCUCGGUUGAGGGGGUUAGCAAAUGGUUGAAAACUACUAGACUAUCCGUAGGAGUCAUUGUGUCAAAUACCUGCAGUAGUAUUUUUUGGUAGUACUAGAAUCCAGAACUUGCAGUUAAGGUGAUAUGCAUGUAGUUUCUACUUAUCCAGAGACUGAUUGUCCGACUGUCGAUAACAUGCUCUGCAACUGUGGGUGUGCAUGCAUGCGCCCCUGUUUACAUGUACACCAAUAUCGUAUCACAAUCGUUCUUAUUUACUGUUUGUAAUCUUGUUUCUUCUUGAGUUGUAAAUGUGUAAUGCAUACUGAACUCUCUGUUAUAUGUAUGGUGUUAGCUUG